rnacentral:rRNA from 1 species
UACGUAGGGUGCGAGCGUUGUCCGGAAUUACUGGGCGUAAAGAGUGUGUAGGCGGUGUUCUAAGUCUGUUGUGAAAUCUCCCGGCUUAACUGGGAGGGUGCGGCGGAAACUGGAAUGCUAGAGGAUGGGAGAGGUAAGCGGAAUUCCUGGUGUAGCGGUGAAAUGCGUAGAUAUCAGGAGGAACACCUGUGGUGUAGACAGCUUACUGGACCAUUUCUGACGCUGAGACACGAAAGCGUGGGUAGCAAACAGG